AACGAACGCUGGCGGCAUGCCUAACACAUGCAAGUCGAACGAAGGCUUCGGCCUUAGUGGCGCACGGGUGCGUAACGCGUGGGAAUCUGCCCUUGGGUUCGGAAUAACUCAGAGAAAUUUGAGCUAAUACCGGAUGAUGACGUAAGUCCAAAGAUUUAUCGCCCAAGGAUGAGCCCGCGUAAGAUUAGCUAGUUGGUGGGGUAAAGGCCUACCAAGGCGACGAUCUUUAGCUGGUCUGAGAGGAUGAUCAGCCACACUGGGACUGAGACACGGCCCAGACUCCUACGGGAGGCAGCAGUGGGGAAUAUUGGACAAUGGGCGCAAGCCUGAUCCAGCCAACGCCGCGUGAGUGAUGAAGG
rnacentral:rRNA from 1 species